rnacentral:rRNA from 1 species
CCUACGGGCGGCAGCAGUGAGGAAUAUUGGUCAAUGGGCGCGAGCCUGAACCAGCCAAGUAGCGUGAAGGAUGACUGCCCUAUGGGUUGUAAACUUCUUUUAUAAAGGAAUAAAGUGAGGCACGUGUGCCUUUAUGUAAGUACUAUAAGAAUAAGGAUCGGCUAACUCCGUGCCAGCAGCCGCGGUAAUACGGAGGAUACGAGCGUUAUCCGGAUUUAUUGGGUUUAAAGGGAGCGUAGAGGGGUAGUUAAGUCAGUUGUGAAAUUUUGAGGGUCAACCCUAAAAUUGCAAUUGAUACUGUACGUCUAGAGAACAGAUGAGGUAGGCGGAAUGCGUGGUGUAGCGGUGAAAUGCUUAGAUAUAACGAAGAACACCGAUAGCGAAGGCAGCUUACUAGACUGCCACUGACACUGAUGCUCGAAAGUGUGGGUAGCAAACAGGAUUAGAUACCCUUGUAGUC